rnacentral:rRNA from 1 species
GGGUUUCGGCCCCCAACUCUUCACCCUUUGCGUACCUACCUUUGUUGCUUUGGCGGACCCGGGAGUCCUCUCGCGCCGACCUUUAGGCCUGCGAGCGUCCGUCAGAGGCUAUUUAAUCCUAUUUAUUAGUGAUGUCCGAGUCCAAACACAAUGAAUAAAAACUUUCAACAACGGAUCUCUUGGUUCCAGCAUCGAUGAAGAACGCAGCGAAAUGCGAUAAGUAAUGUGAAUUGCAGAAUUCAGUGAAUCAUCGAAUCUUUGAACGCACAUUGCGCCCCUCGGCAUUCCGGGGGGCAUGCCUGUUCGAGCGUCAUUGCACCCCUCAAGCGCAGCUUGGUAUUGGGCUCUCGCCCCCGUGGCGUGCCCGAAAAACAGUGGCGGUCUGGCGUGACUUUAAGCGUAGUAACAUCUCCCCGCUCUAAAGCUCUCGCCGUGGCCGGCCAGAUAACCCCAUCUAUUUCUAUAAUUGACCUCGGAUCAGGUAGGGAUACCCGCUGA